rnacentral:lncRNA from 1 species
CCCAAGUUACCAGCCCAGGCCCGCGAAGAAGUCUAGGAGUGAGGCCCAGCAAGACGAAUAGAAGAGAGCCCAAGUCAUGCCGAAGACAUUAGCCCGUUCGGAUAGUCCGGGCGGCCCCAUCAGCUCCACGAACAUUUGGUCCAGGCCCAUGAAGAAUAGAAACGAGGACCAACAAGACAGCCCAAGUCAUUCCAAGAAAGCGGGCCUGUUCAGAUCGUCCGGGCGGCCUCAUUAGCCCCCACGAACAUUGGGCCGACCA